rnacentral:rRNA from 1 species
UGCCUACGGGGGGCAGCAGUGAGGAAUAUUGGUCAAUGGGCGCAAGCCUGAACCAGCCAAGUCGCGUGAGGGAUGACGGUCCUAUGGAUUGUAAACCUCUUUUGUCGGGGAGCAAGGCCCGCCACGUGUGGCGGGAAGGAGAGUACCCGAAGAAAAAGCAUCGGCUAACUCCGUGCCAGCAGCCGCGGUAAUACGGAGGAUGCGAGCGUUAUCCGGAUUUAUUGGGUUUAAAGGGAGCGUAGAUGGGUUGUUAAGUCAGUUGUGAAAGUUUGCGGCUCAACCGUAAAAUUGCAAUUGAUACUGGC